rnacentral:rRNA from 1 species
GCGACCCCAGGAUGGGCGGGGUGACCCGCUGAGUUU